AGCGAACGCUGGCGGCAGGCCUAACACAUGCAAGUCGAACGAAGUCCUCGGACUUAGUGGCGGACGGGUGAGUAACACGUGGGAACGUACCUUUUGGUUCGGAACAACUCAGGGAAACUUGAGCUAAUACCGGAUGAGCCCUUAGGGGGAAAGAUUUAUCGCCGAAAGAGCGGCCCGCGUUAGAUUAGCUAGUUGGUGAGGUAAAGGCUCACCAAGGCUACGAUCUAUAGCUGGUCUGAGAGGAUGAUCAGCCACACUGGGACUGAGACACGGCCCAGACUCCGACGGGAGGCAGCAGUGGGGAAUCUUGCGCAAUGGGCGAAAGCCUGACGCAGCCAUGCCGCGUGAAUGAUGAAGGUCUUAGGAUUGUAAAAUUCUUUUACCAGGGACGAUAAUGACGGUACCUGGAGAAAAAGCCCCGGCUAACUUCGUGCCAGCCGCCGCAGUAACAC
rnacentral:rRNA from 1 species